UACGUAGGGUCCGAGCGUUGUCCGGAAUCACUGGGCGUAAAGCGCACGUAGGCGGAUUGUUAAGUCAGGGGUGAAAUCCUGGAGCUCAACUCCAGAACUGCCUUUGAUACUGGCGAUCUUGAGUUCGGGAGAGGUGAGUGGAACUGCGAGUGUAGAGGUGAAAUUCGUAGAUAUUCGCAAGAACACCAGUGGCGAAGGCGGCUCACUGGCCCGAUACUGACGCUGAGGCGCGAAAGCGUGGGGAGCAAACAGGG
rnacentral:rRNA from 1 species